CCCUUAGAUGUUCUGGGCCGCACGCGCGCUACACUGACGAAUGCAACGAGCUUAUAACCUUGGCCGAAAGGUCUGGGUAAUCUCCAAAUUUCGUCGUGAUGGGGAUAGAUUAUUGCAAUUAUUAAUCUUCAACGAGGAAUGCCUAGUAAGCGCAAGUCAUCAGCUCGCGUUGAUUACGUCCCUGCCCUUUGUACACACCGCCCGUCGCUCCUACCAAUUGAAUGGUCCGGUGAAGCGUUCGGACCGUGGCCUUUGGACGGUUCGCCGUCUGUUGGCUGCGGGAAGUUCGUUAAACCUUAUCAUUUAGAGGAAGGAGAAGUCGUAACA
rnacentral:rRNA from 1 species